GACGAACGCUGGCGGCGUGCUUAACACAUGCAAGUCGAGCGGUAAGGCCCUUUCGGGGGUACACGAGCGGCGAACGGGUGAGUAACACGUGGGUGACCUGCCCUCAGCUCUGGGAUAAGCCUGGGAAACUGGGUCUAAUACUGGAUAUGACUCCACGGUGCAUGUCGUGGGGUGGAAAGCCUUGUGCGGUUGAGGAUGGGCCCGCGGCCUAUCAGCUUGUUGGUGGGGUGAUGGCCUACCAAGGCGACGACGGGUAGCCGGCCUGAGAGGGCGACCGGCCACACUGGGACUGAGACACGGCCCAGACUCCUACGGGAGGCAGCAGUGGGGAAUCUUGCGCAAUGGGCGAAAGCCUGACGCAGCGACGCCGCGUGAGGGAUGACGGCCU
rnacentral:rRNA from 1 species